UUUUUCUUUCACCGGAGCUUGCUCCACCGAAAGAAAAAGAGUGGCUGAACGGGUGAGUAACACGUGGGUAACCUGCCCAUCAGAAGGGGAUAACACUUGGAAACAGGUGCUAAUACCGUAUAACACUAUUUUCCGCAUGGAAGAAAGUUGAAAGGCGCUUUUGCGUCACUGAUGGAUGGACCCGCGGUGCAUUAGCUAGUUGGUGAGGUAACGGCUCACCAAGGCAACGAUGCAUAGCCGACCUGAGAGGGUGAUCGGCCACACUGGGACUGAGACACGGCCCAGACUCCUACGGGAGGCAGCAGUAGGGAAUCUUCGGCAAUGGACGAAAGUCUGACCGAGCAACGCCGCGUGAGUGAAGAAGGUUUUCGGAUCGUAAAACUCUGUUGUUAGAGAAGAACAAGGAUGAGAGUAAAACGUUCAUCCCUUGACGGUAUCUAACCAGAAAGCCACGGCUAACUACGUGCCAGCAGCCGCGGUAAUACGUAGGUGGCAAGCGUUGUCCGGAUUUAUUGGGCGUAAAGCGAGCGCAGGCGGUUUCUUAAGUCUGAUGUGAAAGCCCCCGGCUCAACCGGGGAGGGUCAUUGGAAACUGGGAGACUUGAGUGCAGAAGAGGAGAGUGGAAUUCCAUGUGUAGCGGUGAAAUGCGUAGAUAUAUGGAGGAACACCAGUGGCGAAGGCGGCUCUCUGGUCUGUAACUGACGCUGAG
rnacentral:rRNA from 1 species